AGAGUUUGAUCAUGGCUCAGAUUGAACGCUGGCGGCAGGCCUAACACAUGCAAGUCGAGCGGCAGCGACAACAUUGAACCUUCGGGGGAUUUGUUGGGCGGCGAGCGGCGGACGGGUGAGUAAUGCCUGGGAAAUUGCCCUGAUGUGGGGGAUAACCAUUGGAAACGAUGGCUAAUACCGCAUGAUAGCUUCGGCUCAAAGAGGGGGACCUUCGGGCCUCUCGCGUCAGGAUAUGCCCAGGUGGGAUUAGCUAGUUGGUGAGGUAAGGGCUCACCAAGGCGACGAUCCCUAGCUGGUCUGAGAGGAUGAUCAGCCACACAGGUACCUGAGACACGGUCCAGACUCCUACGGGAGGCAGCAGUGGGGAAUAUUGCACAAUGGGCGCAAGCCUGAUGCAGCCAUGCCGCGUGUAUGAAGAAGGCCUUUGGGUUGUAAAGUACUUUCAGCAGUGAGGAAGGGGAUAU
rnacentral:rRNA from 1 species